rnacentral:rRNA from 1 species
AUUGAACGCUGGCGGCAUGCCUUACACAUGCAAGUCGAACGGUAACGGGCCUUCGGGUGCCGACGAGUGGCGAACGGGUGAGUAAUACAUCGGAACGUGCCCGAUCGUGGGGGAUAACGAGGCGAAAGCUUUGCUAAUACCGCAUACGAUCUACGGAUGAAAGCAGGGGACCGCAAGGCCUUGCGCGGACGGAGCGGCCGACGGCAGAUUAGGUAGUUGGUGGGAUAAAAGCUUACCAAGCCGACGAUCUGUAGCUGGUCUGAGAGGAUGAUCAGCCACACUGGGACUGAGACACGGCCCAGACUCCUACGGGAGGCAGCAGUGGGGAAUUUUGGACAAUGGGCGCAAGCCUGAUCCAGCCAUGCCGCGUGCAGGAUGAGGGCCUUCGGGUUGUAAACUGCUUUUGUACGGAACGAAAAGCCUUCUUUUAAUACAGGAGGGUCAUGACGGUACCGUAAGAAUAAGCACCGGCUAACUACGUG